AAUAUUUCUAUAUUGCGUUUUUAAUACAGAAAGACACCGCGUUGAAUAUACGCAUGUUUUAACAUUAUAACUUGGAUAUAAUUAUUAACGAAGAGAUUGUUGAAGUUGAAAUAAGAUUCCUUUUCAACUGAUGCAUGUAAUGCACCAACGUAUACUGUUGAUGACGUUUGAUGGGUAUUUACGGAACCUGGAUUGUCGACAAAUGUCGUUUACGACACCCAAAUCGAUUUUCUACAGUUACCGUAUAUUCGUAAAACAACUUUAUUUUGACAGCCCUAAUUGUCAGAGUAGGGUACACUAUAAGAUAUACAGUGGUACAAAUUUUGUAUAUAAUUUUAACAAUGGUGACGAGAUUACAGGUGAAAGUUGCAAAGGGUGCUCGUACUCGAACAGUGGUCUUUCGGAGUGGCUUUACAAUCUCGAUUUAGUUUCCUUCCAGAUAAAAAAAUCUAACAUAAGUAACGAUGGAAUCAACAGACACGGCAAAAUAGCACCAGUGGAAAUAGCAAAAGCACCUGACACACUAAAUGACACUUUUAAGUUUCAAAUUGACGGAGAAUUGGAAUACAAUUGGGGAAUUACUGGUUUCUUGGUUCUAUGUGGAUUGACAAUUUAUUUGUGCAUUUGUUGUCGUAUGAGAAAACGAAAAACCGGAAGAUACUGUUUCACAUGUCUAACUAACAGAACAAGAAACAUAAAUGCAAGAGGUCUUUUGGCAGAAUGUUCCGUAGACGGACUACUGUUAUGCUCGUGUAUUUUAUGUAGGCGUCAACAACACCUCGAAAGAAUGCAGAAUUCAGAUUCAGAUGCAUGUGAAAAGGUUUUUACUGAACAUGAGGACAACAAGACUGAUACGGUGACAAGAUGGAAAUCUCUAAAUGGCAUGAAGGAUCGAAACACAGUCUCGCUCAUCCAAUGUGACAACUAAACUGGAGAACAAGUACAAUGUCCGAAUAUGAUAUGUGUGUAAAUAGCAUUGGAAACUAUACCAAAGAGACAGUGCGCAAUGUUAUGUAUAUGAAUCUGUCUUUUUUUACCAAUGUAAACUUCGACGAUGUAUAUAUAUUUUAGUAUAUGAGUGGUUUCAAAUAAUAGAAUUACACUAACAAUGAUUAUAGACUUUUUGAGGUUCGACACGUAACUCUUUUUAUUAAUACUGACGUAAAAUUAGAAAAUGUAAAUGAAAAAAAUCAUUUAAACGUAUUGACACGUGUUACAUCAUUUCUUAAAUAAGUAAGGAAAAAAAAUCAAGUUUACAACCCAGAUAAGGAAUGUUUAUUGAAAACUGGAGUAAUAAUCCGAUGGUUGUCCGUCACAACCCGAUCGUGUCGUAAAGUACCCUAUUUGGCUAUCAAUUUUAGGUAUUUUUGUCAUAUAGCUCUUCAACGGUUUCGGUACUUAUACUUCCUCGGAUUUCCAAUGUUUGGCUUUGAGAGUUCCUGAUGAAGGUAAAUCAAGAAUCGUCUGGCGUACAAAAUGAUAAGCCAGGUACCUUUGAUGAGUUUUGCUUUCAUAUUAACAUACAUUAUUAUCAUUUAUUCAUGCUUGCAGACAGACUAUGUUUAAGAGACACUGACUUUCGCACUGUAAAUAAAUUUUCUGUUUAAUGUUUGUUAAAAUUGUGAUAUCAAGGUUACAGCUACAUGUACAUCUAAAUUACCCAUAUUAAGAUAGUCAGUUACUAAAGAUAAAUUGGUUACAGUUUGCUUGUGACCUAAUACGAUAUAUACAAACUCAGUUAAUUCCAUAUGGGACUCGAGCUUUAUCUCAUUGUAUAUAUAAUAAAACAAAUUGCCAAACUGAGAAGUUUCAUAAAAAAAUAUGAAUUAUAUCAAGCAAUAAUGUUUAGAUUCUGUAAUUUUCGCAGUCAUUCAGAGGCAAAUGCUGGAAUAGGUAGCAUUUCUUUAAAUAUUGUACUAGUAAGUUUAUGUCAUUCUCAUUUAAUUUAUGUGUUUUCAUAAUUUCUUUUAUUCUGUUUGCUAAAUAUAGUGUAUAUGCAUUGUGUAAACUAUUGGUCUUAUUGCACCUCAAAGUGCCUGAGUUAGUAAAUAAAGUUAUCGCUAUCGUCA